ensembl:snRNA U6 U6 spliceosomal RNA
AUGCUGCAGCAGAACAUAUACUAAAAAAUCAGAAUGAGACAGAGAAGAUGAGUAUGGCCCCUGCACAAGGGUGACAUGCAAAUUUGUGAAACUUUAUAUUUUUAA